rnacentral:guide_RNA from 1 species
AAAAUCAUAUAUAUUAUUUAUGGAGGAGAUAGUGUGUAAAU